GGUGGCUCAGUGGUAGAGCGCUUGCCUCGCAUGCCUGAGACCCUGGGUUCAAUUCCUCAGCACCA
rfam:Dipodomys ordii contig_10178, whole genome shotgun sequence.